GGGGGUGUACAGGUUUCGACGGCGCGGAGACGACAAAGAAAAGCAAGUGGCAGGGUCGGCUGCCUCAAAAACGCAAAAAGCAAUAAAUGCUAACACUCAAAAAGCUGCAACUCCGGUUGCACUCGCUGCUUAACAAUUAACGCAGUCGCCGUUUUCCGGUCUACCGUCGGUCGGGUAUUCGGUGUCAACUUCUGACGGCCAACCUUCCGCGGCUUUGGUUGCGGCUUCGGAAAGCUUUAAGUAACCGGACGCUCGGACGCUUUGUCUUUUGCGUGUCCGAAUGCGCGCCUAUUAAGCAACAGACUAAACUUGUAGAAAGCCUUGCCUAUCCGUGUCGGAAGGGAGUUCGAUUCUCCCCACCUCCACCA
rnacentral:tmRNA from 1 species